rnacentral:rRNA from 1 species
AAGUGGCGCACGGGUGAGUAACACGUGACUUAUCUACCCUCGAGUGGGGAAUAACUUCGGGAAACCGAGGCUAAUACCGCAUAAUACCCACGGGUCAAAGGAGCAAUUCGCUUGAGGAGGAGGUCGCGGCCGAUUAGUUAGUUGGCGGGGUAAUGGCCCCACCCAAGACGGUGAUCGGUAUCCGGCCUGAGAGGGCGCACGGACACACUGGAACUGAAACACGGUCCAGACUCCUACGGGAGGCAGCAGUGGGGAAUUUUGCGCAAUGGGGGAAACCCUGACGCAGCAACGCCGCGUGGAGGAUGAAGUCUCUUGGGACGUAAACUCCUUUCGAUCGGGACGAUUAUGACGGUACCGGAAGAAGAAGCCCCGGCUAACUUCGUG